UCCAUCCAAAAAACAUAAAAGUCAUGCAUGAGUAAUCGUUCUAACAUUUGAUCUAUGGAGGGCAGAGAAAAAUGAUCCUUUCGGAUAGCCGCAUUUAAUUUUCUAUAAUCGAUGCAGACCCUUCAUCAAGUUUGAACUCUAGUUGGAACUAGUUCAUUGUUAUCAUUUUGGACUAUAGUAACUCCUGACUUCUUGGAUACCACUUGUACUAGGCUUACCCUUGAACUGUCUG
rnacentral:lncRNA from 1 species